GGGGACGUGGGACAACCUGGUUAGCCUACCAGAUUCGGGAUCUGGCGAUCCGAGUUCAAAUCUCGGCGUCCCCA
rnacentral:tRNA from 2 species